AAUCAUUAUGAUAUUCUGAUUUGCAUCUGGAUCUGUUUUUGUGUGUGUGCAGGUAAGAAGGUGUCUGCCACCAGUUAGCAGACUGUGGUGAGCUGGUAUCAAGGUCACGGUCAGUUUUGCCAGCAUGAGCCCGAGCUGCAGGCGGUGAAGCCCACUUGUGGGUCUGUCUACAUCUGCACUGUGGCAGUGUGUGGCCGGUCAUUGGUUUGUGCAGUACCUGCCCUGGCCUGCAGGAGGCGAGUCCGAGUCAGACCUGGAGGAAAGAUGAAGAGGACAGGCCUCCAGAGAAGAAAUCUGCUGUCAGUGAGAGUAUCUACACCAAAAAUCUGGCUGAGAAGCAGUUAUUGGAUCCCAGUGAUGAAAUGUACAGUUCGAGAGAGCUUCAGCAAUCUCUCAGUAGAAAUGAGUUCGGGACAGCGGCAUGGUGUGUGUCAGUGUGUCAGGUGUAAGCGAGUAAUCGAAGAUCUUCCUCUGCCCGUAUGAAGACUGCAGUCAGAAUCACGUGAACCUGGUGCACAGGAAGGGCCGGACCAAAGUCUGUCCUCAUCCAGGCUCGGGGACGAGGUUUUAUCUGUCUAACCAUCUUCAUCAGCACAUGAUCACACACUCAGGUGUGUGAGACUUUAUCGGUGAAACAUGUGGGAAGUCAUUAAAAGCAAAGAAUCACUUAGAAGUGCACAGACGAACACACACGGGAGAGACGCCGCUGCAGUGAGUUCAGUGAAAAGGUUCAUGUGGGCUAAUAUAUUUAAUGAAUGUCACUUCAGAAGAGCCUCAACAACUGGCACAUGAGGAAACACACGUCUGAAGCGCACUUUAGCGAUACAGUACGUGUGAACACUGCUGCAAACACUUCCAGAAACUCCACAGCAUCAAGAGCUAUCCAGACCUGAAGAAGUCCUGAGCAUGUGAAAAGAUUUAUUAAGGCUGUGAAACAAAGUGUUAUUAAGGAGGAAUUGCAUUUUGUGCACUUUUAGGUGUAUUUUCAUGAAAGGUCAAGACCUGGUACUGACCUAAUAAAUGCUUGACAGAUACUCAAAUAGAGGUGAAAAGGACAUGCAAAUCCUACAGAGAGACACCGAUCCAGAAAAUCGAAACCGUUUGUGUUUUUUGUCAAGUGUGUUUGUAGUUUAUUCCUGUGCUGGACACAGAAAAACUAAACUGUAAUUCAGCUGACACUGUAUGAACAGACAUAUUCCUGUUUACACCAGUUU